AACGAACGCUGGCGGCGUGCUUAAUACAUGCAAGUCGUGCGAGAACGGGUCCUUCGGGGCCCUAGUAAAGCGGCGAACGGGUGCGUAACACGUGGGCAACCUGCCUAUUGGUUCGGGAUAAGCUCUCGAAAGGGGGUCUAAUACCGAAUGACAUCCAGGGAUGGCAUCUUUCCUGGCUCAAAGGCGCUGCAAGGCGCUGCCGAUAGAUGGGCCCGCGGCCCAUUAGCUAGUUGGUGGGGUAAUGGCCCACCAAGGCUUCGAUGGGUAGCCGACCUGAGAGGGUGACCGGCCACACUGGGACUGAGAUACGGCCCAGACUCCUACGGGAGGCAG
rnacentral:rRNA from 1 species